GUUCCAUAUCGCAUAGCAUGCAACUGAAUUAGGCCACAUGGUUCAAAUCUACUGGGGAUUAUCAUAAAGUCAGCACCAGCGAUGAUCAUAUGGGCCAAGGGGACAUUAAACAAUGCCACUCCUCUGACCUUGUCAGGGAUUCCAUUCUUGAACAUCCAUACCAUUUAUGAUACCAGUAAUGCCAGUUUUACGGAUGCAGUGAUCCAAUUCCAUACCCUUUUCAAUUCCAGAAACAAGUUCCUGGGCAUAGUAAGGGCUCACAGUAAAAACCAUUUGGGCUUCCAAUAUACCAGCCUUCAACCAAUUGAGUUUCCUUCCCUUCACAGGCUUGUCAUACCUGCCCAAUUAAAAUCCCUCAGUAUUUGGAAAGGGAGGAGACACACAAACCUGUAUAAAACUAUGGUUCUAGUCAUCUGAAAGCAUCAGCUUCUAAAACAAAAUCCUCACAAGUCCAUGAAGUCAAAAGAGCUCUUGAACCUAUCUGGCAAAUUGAGGAGUGAGAAAUCUGAGAAGGCAAAUCGGCCCUGGUAAGCAAUGUUAUGGAUGCAAAAGGCAACCUGUCAUGAUUGAAUUAACAACAGCAAUGUCAGCAACUGUGCAAUCGGACAUCCAAGCUAAGCAUAUCUCUGAAGGUCUCAAUUCAACGGGUAAAUUACCUUCGCAUUCAUGAAAAGUCCCCUGGAUUGGUACAUUGAUUUUAAGUAACAUGGGAGGAGAGCUGUGUGCCAAUCAUUGGCAACAAAGACAACAUCCUCACCUGCAUUGAUUGAGAAAAUAACAUCAUUGGAGAAAUUUCUUCAUAGGAAAAUUAAGUCUCACAUUUUUGUAAAGAGGCACACACCAUAUGGUCCAGAAAAAUGCUUGCUGCUGUUCAAGCUCAGAACCCUUGGUGCUUCAAGAGCAGCCUGAAAAGCAAUCAAAAGAAUCCAUUUACUAUUGACUUGCCUAUCCACUAUACCAGCAAUUAUCGGAACACCGAUGCUGAUCAACUACCAUUAGCGGAUGGAAAAUAACAUGAAUAUGUUCUGAAAUUUCUCUUAACUCAUUGUUAAUCAUUUUGUAGAAUAAGUGAACUUGCAAGCAGUCAGGUCUACUUGCGUGAAAGUUUAUACUAAAAGACACAUGCUUUGAUUA